rfam:Cyclospora cayetanensis strain CHN_HEN01 contig_333, whole genome shotgun sequence.
UUUUAGGCUUCUCUAGAAGCCACCUACUGUGUCUGUCUCGCUUCCU